rnacentral:rRNA from 1 species
GAUGAACGCUGGCGGCGUGCCUAAUACAUGCAAGUCGAGCGAACAGACGAGGAGCUUGCUCCUCUGACGUUAGCGGCGGACGGGUGAGUAACACGUGGAUAACCUACCUAUAAGACUGGGAUAACUUCGGGAAACCGGAGCUAAUACCGGAUAAUAUAUUGAACCGCAUGGUUCAAUAGUGAAAGACGGUUUUGCUGUCACUUAUAGAUGGAUCCGCGCCGCAUUAGAUAGUUGGUAAGGUAACGGCUUACCAAGGCAACGAUGCGUAGCCGACCUGAGAGGGUGAUCGGCCACACUGGAACUGAGACACGGUCCAGACUCCUACGAGAGGCAGCAGUAGGGAAUCUUCCGCAAUGGGCGAAAGCCUGACGGAGCAACGCCGCGUGAGUGAUGAAGGUCUUCGGAUCGUAAAACUCUGUUAUUAGGGAAGAACAAAUGUGUAAGUAACUAUGCACGUCUUGACGGUAACUAAUCAGAAAGCCACGGCUAACUACGUG